rnacentral:lncRNA from 1 species
AGGAGCUAAACUCAUAAUCUAUCCACUAGUACAAUUAGAUUCAACAGGUAAAGACAGAAAUGAGCAAACAUGACAAAGAAAUCCAAACUGACUACUGAGUUUGAUAAAAAACGUAAGAGGACAAUACUUAACAAACUAACAUGUUCUAGAUUUUGAUUACAUUCUAUUCAUUAAUAAAUAUACUAAUAAGAAUCUUUCUAAAGCUAAGUAUUACAUGUUGUGCAUGAAGUUGAAAGAAGGAGAAAUGAAGCUCAAUAACAGAUAGCAUCAGAUUUCAUCACAUUCCAGAUCCAAACUUCAAAUUGCACUCCUAUGAUAUCCAUAGUGCCGAAAAUACCUAGAAAUGAAGGGGAAACAAGAGAAGUGCAGAAAUCAGUAGGCAAUAAGCAGCAUGACAUCGAUGAAACAAUGUUGAAAUUAGCCAAAAACCCAGGAAUUCAAACUAAAACAGCAACUAGACAAUACUUCGCACAAAACAAGCUCAAAACCAACUUUCAAAAUCCCAAAAUCAAACCAUCUUCAACCCAGGUGCAGAAUUAGAGGUUUUCAAGAGAUUCUAACUAAUGAAGAGGAUCAAAAAUUUCAAACUAAUCAGAAUUUUGACAAUUUUCACAAAAAAUGCAGAGAAAUUAGUGUGCUUCCACAGUUUUCAGCCGUUUCAGUUUUGCAGAAUUUUUAUCUCUCCAUUUUUGCCUUCUCAGGCAAGAGAAGGUGCCUUUAUAGGCAAGCAAAUAAGGCCACCUUUCAGAUUUUAGUUCUACCCUUUAAGCCUUUUUCAAAUUUGCUUUUAGCUUAGAGAUCCCUAAAAUUUUGACUUGUUAACGAAGCUAACUUACUAACAAUCUGAAAUUCAAAUUAAAACCCCUGCUAGAAGCUUCCUAUUUCUGUUAUCAAAAAGAUUCCCUCAAUAAAAUACCCAAACUAUCCCUCAUGCCCAUAUUAUUUACCUUGCUAACCAAACAAACUUGGGCUCAAAACAACCGGGCAUCUUGAAUUGGGUCAUAAAUGACUCAAAAUACCCAAGGCUGGUUCCAAAUCAGUCCAAAUGAACAUUAAGAAACUCAAACUCUGACCCAAAAACCCCAACAAAACUAAGUGACAGUAACACGAAUAAACAAUUUGACUUUGUGCUGACUAUUACCUUGACAACUAUGAAUUAAAAGGAGAAAAGAUAAAUAAUAACAAAGUUGACACAGCAAAAUCAACCAUAAUCGGGUUUGGAAUAAUUAAACUGAGGUACUAACAAAUUCGUGCUUAAUUGAUCAAAACAGUUAAAGAAACCAAUUUGGGAAAUAAAACUUAACGAAGAGCACAAGAACAUGACCAACUCUCAGACAACACAAUUAACCGAGUUUCAAUUGAAUCGACCAGAAAGAGGAGGAGAGGUGAACCAAGAAACGAAGGAAGGACUCACCGACUAAAACUCUAACUUGGUGAUUGGCACUCCUAUAUGACGUCAGGUACUUGUUAUUUAUCAAGGAACAACUCUGCAUGUACGGGUUUGGAUUUGGCUUCAAAAGCUCGGGCUUCAGAUUCAACAUUCGACGAGUUCCAGAUAGAUUUGAGGGGAGCUGGUCACAGAUUUGGGGAAAGAGGGUCGAAGAGGCACUAGGAUGUUGAUUUGGUGGGGAAAGGUGGUGGCGCCGCCACCGGAGGACGAUGGGAAAAGGUGGCGGCUCUUAGGGUUUACGCUGGGUCUCUGGUGUGAGAGAGACGACUGAGCUAGGGGGGAAAAGGUUCUG